CCAGUACUCUGGAAUGUUCUGAGGCCCUGAAGUGUGUGUUGGCCGCCUAGUUUCCUCCUGAGCCAUGGGAGCAACCUGGCAGCUGCAAGGAAAUUUAAGCCAGGGUGGAAACCGAGGGGUGUGCCCAGCUCUGCCUGAUCUAAACUUUGCUUCUCAGGAUCAACAACCCAGGAGUUGGGGAUCCCUUCCCUGGGUGGCCACAGUCUUGCCAAGGCACCCAACCUCAAAGUGGAGCCCCUGCAGCUAUUGCUGUGAUGCCAGCACCAUUCUUUCAGACUAAGUGGGCUCCUACCUGAGAUCAACUAAACCAAACAAGAUUAAAACCCUGCAGUGUGGUGGCAAUGCUCAGCCAGGGUGGGGGAAGCUCACUCACGGGCCCUCAGUUAAUAAAAUGCAGCCCCACUCUCCCUCUUGGGUCCUCCACAUUCAGCGCUGUGUCAGAGUCAUCCAAGAACUCACGCUAGAAGAAGCAGCCACACACCUGCCAGGCAGGCAGGAGCAGCCUAGGAAUGCUCUCCUGUGUGUCUAGACAUUCCAGGCCAACCACAACCUGCCUGAGUGACUGACAAGCCCACCAGAGCAAGGGUGUGCCCCGUGAGAGCUGCAAUGGGGAAUGCCGCUAGUGGGCAUGAGCUGGGACAGGACCUUGCUGUGCAUGACUGGUGUGUGGGUGGGCACUGUGGGAAGAGACUAACUCCUUACUGGCUUUGCUUGGCCGGACAGUUAAAGGGCAUUGGGGCCCAAUUCCAUCGGCUGAUGGCACUUCCGAGGCUGCUCACAGUAUAACCCUGGUAUUUCUGCUCUGUCAGGGGAGUCGUGCUUGACCCCAAGGCCAAAUGAGCAGCUCCAGGAAGAUGCCACUUUUGUGAGGACAUCAGAUGAUGAUGGAGCGUGGCAAGUGCUCAGCUGUGUGGCCCAGACUCUGUGACUUCAGGUCUAUGAGGAACACCCCAAGGCAUCUGCUGGAUGUGCUGUCAGAGGGUUUCUGGAAGACAGAUGGCCAAACGGAAGUUUGGGACGAGGCGCAAUGGCGUGGGUGCAGAUCCUAACGACGCCUCCUUCUCUGAGCCUCCAUUUCCUCCCCCUGCGAAGCAGAAAGGGCAGCAGGCGUUCGUCAGAGAGAGCUGUGGAGACGGAGAGCUGGGGCUGGGCAGGAGGGCCACUGUCUGUACACUGCAAGCCCAGGCCACGUCGGACCUGAAAGCCAGAGUCCACACUGCCCAUCUGGAACUGGACCCUGAAGGGCAAAGCAGAGGGGACAGGAGGAGCGAGGUGGUCCCUGAUCGGCCUACGCAGGUCAGUAGAAAUGCUAACUCUUACCCACAGCUGGACGGAUCCUGACCCUGGAGCCACAAAAGGGUAAAUGUCCACUGGCUGUUGCUUGUGAUUCCACACAAGUCCAUCUGUUCAAGUCCAUGCAGGAGCAUAAGCAUUCAGCCUCCUCCGGAGAUGGAGUCCUCCCAGGGGUGCUUAAGGUGAAACAAAGCCAUCCGUUCGGACCUGAGCCAUCAGGACUGUGUCCUCACGACACACAGAGGGAAGACCGAUAAGGCCGCACCUGCAAGUGAAGGAGGGCUGCACCCAGCCCUGUGAAGCGUGGCCUGGGACUUACGGACACAGGGUUCGUGAGACAGGGAACCUGGUUGGAGCCCUCAGUCGGUGUGCCUCGGUCUGCAGCCUCGAGACAUUUGCACAAGACUCCCGUGGUGCUAGUCUCUAAAGUGUUCUUUCCCUCGCUCCCACGCUGGUGGAGUGGGCUGAGACAGGUGGGCUUCAUAGUCUGCAUGGCAAAGGCCUCUGAAGUCCCACGGGUUCCCUCAUGGGUGGGCGCGGGGGCUGGGAUUUCCGGCCUACCCACCGCCUGGCUUUGUGGCCAUUUGUGCCGCAGCCUAGGAAUUCAUCUGCCACCUCAGUAAGGUAAUGCUAAGUGCCCAGAGCCUGGCUCCUGACGACGCUGGGACAUCUGUCCUCUCACUUUCUGUGGAGUUCACGUUGAUUUCUGUCUAAUGUGUUUCCACCCCAGGGUACCCUGCAAGGUCCCGGCAGUCAGUGAUAACCAAUGGCGGACCGGGCAACAGCAUGGCAUGGCUGAAAUUGGUGACUUUGUAUGCAAGGCCAUCACUGGUCCCUUGAGGCACCCAGUGGCCAAGCCAUCUGAGUGUCCCCUUGAGAUGUAGAGUUUCUUAGAAGUCACAAUCGCCCCAUCUCGAGCCCAUAUGCCCUGGACCCCAGCUGAAGUGACUUGUGGUAUACAGGAGAGAAGGUAAGAGACGGUAAGAAGAGGCUGGAAGGACUCUUCUUGGCAACUUCUCAGUAACUGGCAUGUUGCUUCAACUUAGAUCUUAACAGAUCAGACUUCCUCAGGUGGGUUCCCCAGGAAACUCCAGUGGUCACGCUGGAGGAGAUGCAGCUGCUGAUGGGAUUUUCCCUGCAUGCACUGCUUGGCUGGGCAGUACAACUUGAACUCCCUCUCAAGGCCUCUAAAUGCAGAAAAGAAUUUACUUUCAUCAACCAGGGAUGGCUUCAUUACCAGUGUGAGGUCUAGUAAAUUGCACAGCUUUGGCACUGAUAAAACACCUUAAUUCUAGUUGACCUCAUUUCCAACUUGAGGUGGGGUCAGUGGGCUCCGCUCCGGAAAAGAAGCAAACGGGUUUUGACAGUGACAUCUUGUUGUGAUGAGGGCGCUGAGCGGACAUAGGAGUGGGCUGUCUCUUUGUGUCUACCUCCAUUGCCCACAUCACCCAUCUGGGCUUUGGGUCGGCCCCUUCCUGCUAGACUUCUGCCGUCUGGAUGAGCCAACAGGGCAGAGGGGAGGCCAUUGCUCAUCCCAGCUCCCUGCCCUGCCCUUGGGGUUCAAGCAGACCAGAAACCAGUAGACCAGGUGUAUGGCCCUGCAACCUUCUAUUUGCUCUGAGCUGCCUGCUUUGUGCACACAGAACUUGGCUUAGCAUGGGUCCUCAAAGGGCAGGCCUGAGCCUGGACAGGAAUAAAGGAAGUUGUUUUUGGAGUCCAUCCCAGGAAUCCAAUCGAUCCCCAGUGGGGCCAUGGAGAUGGAAGGACAAAGAAACUUCGAGAACAGCUGACUUUUGUGUGCAACAGUGUCUGCCCUCUGGGGCCCAAGGUAGAGCAGAGCUCUGUAUUAGAGCCCUCAGUGAUGCCAGGCAGCCAUGAGCAGCUCCUAGUCCUGUUGGCUGACUUUUGCUCUUGAAGUCUCAGACGGGCCGAGUACAGAUUGCUGUCAAGCAGAGACGUAUGGGCCCAGAUCAAAUAGAAACCACUUUCCUUCACCUCGUUAACAACAACCGGGCCCCUCUGCACUGCUCUGGAUCUGCCUGAGCUGAGUAAACUUGCCCAGGGCUGAUGGGGCAAUAGGGGGCAGAAGGCAGGCCACAAAGCAUGGGGCAGGCUGGAAGCAAAGAAGUUUCUCUGGUCAGGUCAGCAUAGUCACCCUCCCUCAGCCAAAACAGUAGCUAGAGUGUCAUGCUUUGCCAUGAGGUCUGGUCAUCAAGGAGGAGGGACAUUUGACCUAGUUCUCUGGAGCUAUCGUUAUUCUAGUGUCCUGGGGGAUGGGACUCUCCAUUGCAGUCACUUUCCUGGAUCGUAUUUUGAUAUGGAGUUUAAGUACACAGUGCUGACCCUCGCCCUCUAUGCAGCUUUGUCUCAUCCAACAUGAUGAUCUCACUCUUUCCUGCUGGUUUCCAAUUAAACUGACUCACCCUGACCUCUCCACGGGCGGCCCCAGCAGUUGGGUGCUCUAUCCAGCGUAAAUGGAGCAUGCGAGCACACAGGCAGACUCGCUGAGCUCACUGUAUGCAUAGGUGCACGUCUGUGGACCUCGUGCCUUGCAAGUACAGGUAUACCCAUGGCAAACACACAUUCAUGACCACUGACCUAGGAGCACAAAGCACAUACAUGAUCCUGUGUACAUGUAAAUGUACACAUGUGCACACGUGAGCAUGCACAUUUCAUGGGUGCAUGCAGAAAAAUACACAAGCGUGCACAGAGGUUCAUCUGUGCAGUGAGUAUGUACUAACUCACCGUCCAUUAGACAGUGGUCUUGGGAGCCCAUUAAACCGCACUCCAGAUACUGAAGCACAAUGGUGACCACAAUGGUGUCAUUGUGGAUCGACCUCCUCAGAGAUCCCCAACCCCCACCCCGAAGCACCUUGUUGGCUUUUUCGAACCGAGGAUCCAAGGUUUCCCCAUGAAAGGAGUCUCCCAGAGUUGGCGAUGCCUUCCACAUCCCGUCCAGCACUGGCUUCCCUUGAGCAGGCUGCUGGGAACAGGGCAUCUUCUUGUGCUGGUGGAGGUACUUGGGGAAGUCAUGACCACUGAGAGUACUGUGCUUAUCCUGCUGGGGACUUGUCUCCCCAGUGUCCCAGCCUCCACCCUAGCCCAUGGCAUCCAGCUGAGUCUCUUUCUCUCUCCCAUUACUCCAUCAAAGCAUUUGUGGUUUGGUGGCUUUGGCAUGGGCUGUCUCAUCAGGGUCCCUCCCCCUACAGGACAUAGGGUGGACUUAUCUGGGCAGAGAGUAGCAGGGGACAUCAGCCCAGGGGGCUGAGAGACCACAAAUAAAAUGAAGGAGAGCACAUUGAGGCUGCAUGUUGCCAAAGCACCCUGAACAAAAUGGCAAACACUUUCUGAGUGUCUGUGCUUUGCCUCACCCGCCUAGGAGUGUGCGGCUGUGCAUGGGGCCCACAAGGAAAGCCAGAUUGUCCCAGUCUCCCCCAGAGGUGACACUGGAACCCACACCCUGGAAGGGCAGGUUGCUCACCUUAGUCAAGAAGCUCUUUGAAGCCUCCUCCUCCUGAUUCCAGCUCCCUGUGUUCCCGUGUGAGCCAUGGACACAGCGUGCAGCUGUGCACAUGGGGCUUACUGUAGUAGACGCCCUUGUCACUAACAUUUGAGAGAUGCCUGGGUUAGCCUUCCUUUCUCUCCCUUCAUCUUGCUUCUUCCUUCCCUUCGUUAUUUCUUCAGCACAGGAAACCCAGGCACUGAGUCCCUCAGAUUGCACUAGUGCCUGCCCCUCUAACUUGUACCCCCCUCUGUUGUUCAUGUCCUAUGUGCCCCCACUCAGGACUAAGUCACCUCCCAGGGGCUGCUGCCAGUCACCCUGACACCUUUCCUUCCUGGGUAGUGUCUGUGGGGUGGACAGGCCAGCCCGUAUAGCCAGAGCCAGCUGGACCCUCAGGGGUGUCUCCCUGCAGGUUGGGGGACAUGGUUCCAACAUGAAUAGGGCCACUUUCCCUGGGGAUACUUCCCUGUUGCUCCCCCAGCCAAGGGAAGCUAUACAGUGAGGAGCAAGCCCUUCAUCAGCACAGCCAUCUGCUGUCUCCUCCAUCUCCUCCUCUGCCUCCUCCUCCCCUCCUGUGACUCCUGAAUUUAAAUCACACAAAGGGAAAAGCCAGGUGCCAACAAAGAUGCUUCAGAAUCUAUUCUGGCCAGAUCUGCAGCUGGAGGGUACACCAUGCCAUCCAGACUUCUCCUCCUUCCCUGACUCUGCCUGGUUCCUCCCACGCAGGGCAGUGCCAGCCUCUGGGAGAGGUGCACCACCUAUUUGCCUUUAAUUCACAGCUUGAUCAAAAGGCUCACCAGAUCAAAGUCACAUUUCUUAUCACUUUUCAAGAUUGAGUGAGGACUUGUGUACCGGGUGGAGCGGCCCUUGGUGUCUGCUCUUUCUGCACAGACAGAGGCUUUUACCACCCUCACUGACCUUCGUCAGGGACAGCCAUGGCUUCUUGGCUCAACGCUCACCUGUGACGUCUGUGGGAAUGACGAUAAGCUUCUCAGUGCCAACCACUUGCUGACCACUGGCUGUGUAUUCUCUUCCCUUCCGUGGUGUUGUUGAUACCCUGGGAACGUGGCCUGGUGACAAGCUUCCAAGCAAGGGUACCAUGGUCACAUUGAGACGCAAAGGCAGCCUCUGGCCUCAGAGGAACAAAACCCACCAAGACAGACUAAGAAAAAAAUACAUAAGAAAGAUGUAAAAAAAACAACAAUCCCUUUAAUAUAGAAAGAGCUCUCAGAAUAAAUAAGAAGAAUCAUUUAUUUGCUUUGGGGCAUCUCUUGAUUUGGGUCAACCAAAAAAGUCUGGCUCCUUUGUUUGGUAAUAACCUCCAGGAGUUAGCUCUUUUCCACUGUGUUUCUGGGGUAUGGCUGACUAACCUAUAUGCCACUCCCAGAGUUCAAGUACAACUUUCCCUGGCUGACAAAAGGCAUCCCUGAGACAAACCAGAGCUACGGGAGUAGACAUCUCGCUGGGGCUCAUAAGCCUGGAAGCUGGUGGUGCUCCUCUGAACCCACUAUACACUGCUGCAACAGACCCCUCCCCCAGAAGCGCCAAGCAGGUCUCCAGGGAGCAGACACAUCCUCUUACUGGGCAGGAGGCUGGGAAGCCCAAGGCAGGGACACCCGGUGAGGGCCUGCCUCUGUCACCCAUGGUGGCAGACAGAGAGCAAGACAGGACAGUAAAGCCGUCAUCUCCCAAGGGACCCCCUCUUGCUAAUAACCUUGAUCCAUCUGUGUGGGAGAGCCCAUUAGGGACACUUCCUCACACUCAGCUUUGGGAUAAAGUUUCUACACAGGCAUUGUGGGGAAACCCAGUACGAGUAUGAACUUUCCUACCAAGGUAAGGGGAGUGGGAGCAAAGCCCACACCGGGGAGCCGAGCUGAGACACUGGGGGAAAGGAGGAGGCGAGCGGGACAGCAUGGCGUAAGGACCCAGGACAGCAUGGCGUAAGGACCCCAGGACAGCAUGGCGUAAGGACCCCAGGACAGCAUGGCGUAAGGACCCAGGACAGCAUGGCGUAAGGACCCAGGACAGCAUGGCAUAAGGACCCCAGGACAGCAUGGCGUAAGGACCCCAGGACAGCAUGGUGUAAGGACCCAUGCUGCUCAGUCUGUCUCACCCUUUGCACCUGCCUGUGUUAAAACCACCAGUUCUCAUUUUUAGGUUAAACAGGUUGAGCUGCAUUUCAGCGAGAGGCCUUGGAUGAGAUCCAGAAAGAGAAACCUGGGCAGAAAACGAGAAAUGAUCCUUCAGAUUAACACGAGGCCACUGGUGUGAACCCCAGUCAUCAGUGUGAACUCUCAGCCAGUGGCGUAAACUCCCACGGUUGGUCACCAGGAAGUUCAAAUGGGUGCCAUUCAGGCCAAACUGCAUCUCCCCAAAGAUGUGGUUAAGUCGCUGGUGUGAAAACAGAGCCGUUGCAGUGUUCUCGAUGAAGAUGGUGUCGUCCUGGAACAGUGGGGUGUCCUAAAUCCAAACUGACCAGGGUCCUCAUGAGAAGAAAGAGGCCAGCAGGGCAGAGAAGCCUCUGUGGGACAGGGGUGAGGGAGGGAUCUGAGGGAGCACGGGACAGGUCCUUCUGAGGACUCCAGACCCAGCCUGGACCUGCCCUGGAGUUUAGGGGGGCUGCGCUGUACGGGUGCAUUGCUGUCCCGUACUCGCUCGGCAUCCCGAGGAAACAAAGUUCAGUGAUACGGGUGAUACUUUAUCUCAGCCCCAUGAAGUGAGUGCAGACACCAUUUUAACAUCUGAAGCUUACAGUGUCUCCUUUGAACCACAGUUCUUACACGCUGGCACAGCAUACGGUCCAGAGAGUGGCUGGCUGCGAGGCGACCUCAUCCAAAGGCAGAAGUCAGGCAGGAGUUCGGCACGCUGAAAAGGACGCCGUGGCACUGUCACAGAAGCUGUGCACGAGACACGGGUCUAAAUGCAGCAGGCACAGUGAAGCAUUAGAUACUAAACACAAUGCGUUCGGCAUGCGCCGUGAGGAAUUGUCCUUCUAAAGACAGAGACAGAAGUAAAACCACGCGUGGGGCAGAGCGCUGGCUCAGUGGGGUGGAGUUUCCCUCUCUUCUUCAGGCUGGCUGUGCGUUUGUGGGCUCAAGCAAGCCCCCUGCCUCAGGGGGGUUGGGACUGCAGGUGCUGCCAUAUCAACACACCCAGGGUACAGACCCCAUUCCAUUACUGGGGAAGUUUCGCUUCUCCACACUGGAGAAUGCGUGCUGAUCUUUGAAACUGAUAUGGAAGAUACUAAUCCGUGCUGACCCUGCCUACCCCAAGCCUGGCAAACUCCCUGUGCAUUUGAAGUCAUAAAGCAAUUUAAAUUUGGUA